UUUAGAGUCGUCUCUGAGAAAGGAGGGAGAGAUGAGGUGCAGAUUCCGACGAAAUCGCGCAGCCUCAACCGCCCCUCCUGCCGGGCAGAGGACUCAGGUCUGGAGGUCAUACUCGAGCGGCGACCGUCGCCGCCGGGCGAUCCGCGAGGCGAGUGAUGAGGAGGAGGACGAGACCUUCCUCGGCACCCUCAAGUUCAAGGCUGUCCCUGACCCGGAGACAGUGGCGGCGCCACCAGGGGCGAGGAUGGGCGGUCGCCCCGGCUCCCUUGUGGCGGAGCAGGCGUCCCGUAAUUAAAAUUCCGGCGGCGGCGCUCCAUUACCGACCGCAGAAUCUCUCCAUCACUCGAUCAGAAAUUAGACCUUAUAUGUUCGCCCCGGCUCAUCUCAAUUCCUGGCUCCGCCACUGCCUGGAGAGCAACCCCUGCCACACCCCCGGCUGACGUCCUCAAUAAGACACGUCACUGCCUGGAGAACAAGUCCUGCGAAGCAUGUCUUUCUUUUUAUCGUUGUUACACUAAGCUAGGAUGAAGUUUAAUGCCAAAAAUGGUGCUACAAGCUUUGAUGCAGUUGAUGUCAGCCAUGGCUCUGGUUUUGUGUAGUCAAUAUUAUCCUAUGAACAAAAAAGGUCUUCUGGAAAAAGUAUGGUGGGCCGUCUCAACCGAGAAGUAAAAAUCUGGGUUUCCUCUGAUAAGGAAGGUUUGUUAUUGCCAACUGACUCUGGGACCUGGAGAUGCACUCAAGCUCUGGAACUUGUGAGUUCUCUGGAACAUAAGCACGAGGAAGCAUUUUUCAACCAAGUAGCAGUGUUGCCGCAAGCUAGCCUUAUUUUGCUUGUGAAUGCCAAAAAGAAUGCUAUAUAUGCUGUCCAUGUUGAGUAUGGCCCAGAUCCUGCCUCUACUCAGUUGGACUAUAUAGCAGAUUUCACAGUUGCAACGCCUAUUAUAAGUCUGAUGGGAACAUGCGGAAGCCAACCAUAUGGUGAAAGUAGUGCAAGUCUAUUGUGUCCAGACAGCUGUUCAGAAGCAUGGUCUGGAGGUAUCACCCUGUUUGCCUCCUACAGCUGAUAAUACUGGUCUUUGGUAGGGACCCGGCUCUUCCACAUGUAUAUGACAGACCUCUAGAAGUUUAUUGUGGUCGUGGUUCUGUUGUAAUUAUUAAUAAUCUGCUAUGAACAUUUUGGUAUGUUUAUCUAGCUUAUUUUAACA